rnacentral:lncRNA from 1 species
CCUCCUCCUGGGGCUAAUCUCCCGCCCUUCACCCCUUCACUAUCUUUUCCUCCUCCUUCCUUAAACGAACCAUUUAAAUUCACCACUCUGUCUCCACUUCACUUCACUCUUUCUUCAAUUCACACUCUUUACAAAAACUUCCCAAUUUUUUCUUUCGAAAUUACUAAUACACCUCCUACUUACCGGUUUAUCGGAAAUGGAUAACCCGCCGGCGAACCGGAUAAAGAGUCGGGUCACAAGGCUACCGCCAAGAAGAGGGAAGGUUAAAGAAAUAAUUUUUAAGAAACUGCUGAAAUCGGUGGAUUCGAUCAUCCCUGGUUGUUUUCGUCCGACACCAAUUACCCCUGAUAAAUAACAAGAAGCUUUAUUUGGUAUUUAUUCCUAUUGAUUUUUUUCUAAUUUGAUCCUGUUUGUUAAUUUCCCAGCUAACAAACAGACUAUAGAAACUCUUUUUUCCUUUUUUUCCUUUUUAAUUGUUUUAUGGGUCGGGGAGGCUGCUUCUGUAAUGUGAUUAGGGGUAUGCAUUCGAUUUAUCGAUUCGAUUUUGACCCUUAUCGAUAAUUACUUAUCGAU